rnacentral:rRNA from 1 species
GUUUUAAACCCUUUCAGGGGAACCUGUUCCGUGAUCGAUAGUCCACGAAAAACCUUACUUUUUCUUGUUUUUCAGCUUGUAUACCGUCGUCGUCAGGUGACUUCUAGAGAAAAUAAGAGUUGGCUGAAAGAAUGGUUAAUUCUAAACGUCAGAUCAAGGUGCAGCUUAUGGGAAAGUGGAAAUGGGUUACUGAUAUAUAAAUUUAUUUGGGUUUUAUUUUGAAAUAAGAUGAAAUAAAAACGGACUUGAGAGUAAGUAUUUUAUGAAAGAGAGAAGUAUUGAAAAUGGUUUUAAAACGUGC